rnacentral:rRNA from 1 species
UACGUAGGGUGCAAGCGUUGUCCGGAAUUAUUGGGCGUAAAGAGCUCGUAGGCGGUUUGUCGCGUCUGCUGUGAAAACUCGGGGCUUAACUCCGGGCCUGCAGUGGGUACGGGCAGACUAGAGUGCGGUAGGGGAGACUGGAAUUCCUGGUGUAGCGGUGAAAUGCGCAGAUAUCAGGAGGAACACCGGUGGCGAAGGCGGGUCUCUGGGCCGUAACUGACACUGAUGGACGAAAGCUAGGGGAGCGAAAGGG